ACUGGCCUGGCCUUUCCUUUCCUUUCCUUUUGUUUUCCAUUUCUAUCAGACAACUCCAAAACACACAAACUAAAAAGUGAAAGGUGAAAAUAGCAGAGCACAACCCCCAACCCCUUUCCCUUUCCUUCUCUCCCCCUCCAUCCUUCGUGUUAGUCCAAAAAAUUAAUUAGGGCUUCAUUGACAGAACACAAUCAAGUAUCAACCAAAGCCGCAGCACACACACUCUCUUCCUCUCCAAAUGCUUGUUCUCUUGCCCCAAAUACCACUUUUAGGUUUUUAGUGAAGAGAAAUAGCGAACAGGGAAGGGAGUGACCGCGGCGAUGGAUAAAGGGCGCGUGCCCGGCUGAAGAAAUCAGCUGUGGCUCCGUGAACGACAAGCGGCGGCCGCGGUAACCGGAGGUGGCAGAUCCUCUCCUUAGUUCCCUUGAUUCGUAGUUUGUUAUCUUCCUCGUGCGAACACAAAAGGGGCAGAGGCGCGAAACACACCUCCGCGCACAAAUCCUCGCCGCCGUUCCUUUCUGCCCGUCAGUACCAGCUGCAUCGCGCUUCCCGUUGUCGGUGGGUCCAUCACCGAUCAACUUCUUCGUUUAGAUUACUGUUGCCAUGGAUAAAGUUACCAGCUGAGCUAAAGCUCAUGAAGGAGGCUGCAUCGGUUGCUUGUCAGGCCCUUUUGUUGACUAUGCUGCAUUCAAAAACAUACCCUUUUGAAAGUAUGCUAGGUGCAAAGGUUGAAUAUGAAUGCAGAAUGAAAGGAGCACAGCGAAUGGGGUGAGUGCCUCUCUAUUUAUCUUUCUACUGUGUAAAAAAUUUUGGAUGCAGAUCUUAAAGGCAAGAAAGAUCUCAAGAUUCAUGCUUUAGAGGUUGUGGAAGAACUUAGAACUAAAAGAGCAAGACAAGCAGUCCAUGCUCAUGUUAGAUGCCUUUAACAAAGACAGGGCAUCUUUACCUCAACCUCUGCCAAAUCCACCUCCUUUGGCUCCCAUUCCUGUUGCUGCUCCUGACCCUUGAACACAAAAGAUGAUAAAUGAGAAGUUGAAGAAAGCCGAGGACCUUGGUAAGC